UACGUAGGGACCAAGCGUUGUUCGGAUUUACUAGGCGUAAAGGGCGCGUAGGCGGCGUGACAAGUCACUUGUGAAAUCUCUGAGCUUAACUCAGAACGGCCAAGUGAAACUGUUGUGCUAGAGUGCAGAAGGGGCAAUCGGAAUUCUUGGUGUAGCGGUGAAAUGCGUAGAUAUCAAGAGGAACACCUGAGGUGAAGACGGGUUGCUGGGCUGACACUGACGCUGAGGCGCGAAAGCCAGGGGAGCAAACGGG
rnacentral:rRNA from 1 species